ensembl:miRNA
UCCAGGGCAGCAGGAGGGACGGGAUGCUGUGCAGUGUUGUUCUAUCACCAACCAAUAUUGCACUCGUCCCGGCCUCCUGCCUCCUUGGGCU